UAGUUCCCUCGACUUUUUGAGCUUUCAAUGCCUCUUCUCUUUCUCAUAAAAGCCUUUGCCAUGGAUUGAGGUUCUCUUCUAAAACGGUCAACACCUUUUACCACUCCUCUUCAAAUCAACUUCGAAAUCUUCUACUUACAAAUAGUAGGGUUUAUUUAUCUACAUGUAACAUCUUCCCAGAUACAAUAAUAAAGAAAAAUCUUGAACAGCAAGUCUUUCAGUGCUUUCAAUACUUUCUGCGUCUCUUUACUUGGCCUGGUGCUAGUGGAAGGCGAACGAACGGAGGGUUCAUCGUCUUUUGUUUCUAUAUCAUUUAGAGAUCGAUCUAUAUCAUUUGAAAACAAUGUAGACAAAGUGGAACAAGAUAUUGGUAGCAGUUCUUCAGCAAUUCCAUUAUGGGACGGCAUAGUACUUGGUGCAUGAAUACUUAAUGUCACUGGAAAACUUCUGAGUUGCCAUUCGAUUUGUGCAUUUGCUGAAGGAUGCAUAACUGAACGGUCUAGCACACAUUGCAAACUAGCAAGGGUUGACAACUACAGUACAUUCAAUAGUAAUGUACAAAGGGGAAGGAAUGAAAGUAAUCUCUUGUACAAUUUUGUCCCUACACUAUUCUUGGAGAAGCAAUGUUGCCUUUAAAAUACUUAUCAUAGUAAUGUUGCCUUAAAUUAAUUAAA